AGCGUACACGGUGGAUGCCCUGGCAGUCAGAGGCGAUGAAGGACGUGCUAAUCUGCGAUAAGCGUCGGUAAGGUGAUAUGAACCGUUAUAACCGGCGAUUUCCGAAUGGGGAAACCCAGUGUGAUUCGUCACACUAUCAUUAACUGAAUCCAUAGGUUAAUGAGGCGAACCGGGGGAACUGAAACAUCUAAGUACCCCGAGGAAAAGAAAUCAACCGAGAUUCCCCCAGUAGCGGCGAGCGAACGGGGAGCAGCCCAGAGCCUGAAUCAGUGUGUGUGUUAGUGGAAGCGUCUGGAAAGGCGCGCGAUACAGGGUGACAGCCCCGUACACAAAAAUGCACAUGCUGUGAGCUCGAUGAGUAGGGCGGGACACGUGGUAUCCUGUCUGAAUAUGGGGGGACCAUCCUCCAAGGCUAAAUACUCCUGACUGACCGAUAGUGAACCAGUACCGUGAGGGAAAGGCGAAAAGAACCCCGGCGAGGGGAGUGAAAAAGAACCUGAAACCGUGUACGUACAAGCAGUGGGAGCNGUGACUGCGUACCUUUUGUAUAAUGGGUCAGCGACUUAUAUUCUGUAGCAAGGUUAACCGAAUAGGGGAGCCGAAGGGAAACCGAGUCUUAACUGGGCGUUAAGUUGCAGGGUAUAGACCCGAAACCCGGUGAUCUAGCCAUGGGCAGGUUGAAGGUUGGGUAACACUAACUGGAGGACCGAACCGACUAAUGUUGAAAAAUUAGCGGAUGACUUGUGGCUGGGGGUGAAAGGCCAAUCAAACCGGGAGAUAGCUGGUUCUCCCCGAAAGCUAUUUAGGUAGCGCCUCGUGAAUUCAUCUCCGGGGGUAGAGCACUGUUUCGGCAAGGGGGUCAUCCCGACUUACCAACCCGAUGCAAACUGCGAAUACCGGAGAAUGUUAUCACGGGAGACACACGGCGGGUGCUAACGUCCGUCGUGAAGAGGGAAACAACCCAGACCGCCAGCUAAGGUCCCAAAGUCAUGGUUAAGUGGGAAACGAUGUGGGAAGGCCCAGACAGCCAGGAUGUUGGCUUAGAAGCAGCCAUCAUUUAAAGAAAGCGUAAUAGCUCACUGGUCGAGUCGGCCUGCGCGGAAGAUGUAACGGGGCUAAACCAUGCACCGAAGCUGCGGCAGCGACGCUUAUGCGUUGUUGGGUAGGGGAGCGUUCUGUAAGCCUGUGAAGGUGUGCUGUGAGGCAUGCUGGAGGUAUCAGAAGUGCGAAUGCUGACAUAAGUAACGAUAAAGCGGGUGAAAAGCCCGCUCGCCGGAAGACCAAGGGUUCCUGUCCAACGUUAAUCGGGGCAGGGUGAGUCGACCCCUAAGGCGAGGCCGAAAGGCGUAGUCGAUGGGAAACAGGUUAAUAUUCCUGUACUUGGUGUUACUGCGAAGGGGGGACGGAGAAGGCUAUGUUGGCCGGGCGACGGUUGUCCCGGUUUAAGCGUGUAGGCUGGUUUUCCAGGCAAAUCCGGAAAAUCAAGGCUGAGGCGUGAUGACGAGGCACUACGGUGCUGAAGCAACAAAUGCCCUGCUUCCAGGAAAAGCCUCUAAGCAUCAGGUAACAUCAAAUCGUACCCCAAACCGACACAGGUGGUCAGGUAGAGAAUACCAAGGCGCUUGAGAGAACUCGGGUGAAGGAACUAGGCAAAAUGGUGCCGUAACUUCGGGAGAAGGCACGCUGAUAUGUAGGUGAGGUCCCUCGCGGAUGGAGCUGAAAUCAGUCGAAGAUACCAGCUGGCUGCAACUGUUUAUUAAAAACACAGCACUGUGCAAACACGAAAGUGGACGUAUACGGUGUGACGCCUGCCCGGUGCCGGAAGGUUAAUUGAUGGGGUUAGCGGUAACGCGAAGCUCUUGAUCGAAGCCCCGGUAAACGGCGGCCGUAACUAUAACGGUCCUAAGGUAGCGAAAUUCCUUGUCGGGUAAGUUCCGACCUGCACGAAUGGCGUAAUGAUGGCCAGGCUGUCUCCACCCGAGACUCAGUGAAAUUGAACUCGCUGUGAAGAUGCAGUGUACCCGCGGCAAGACGGAAAGACCCCGUGAACCUUUACUAUAGCUUGACACUGAACAUUGAGCCUUGAUGUGUAGGAUAGGUGGGAGGCUUAGAAGUGUGGACGCCAGUCUGCAUGGAGCCGACCUUGAAAUACCACCCUUUAAUGUUUGAUGUUCUAACGUUGACCCGUAAUCCGGGUUGCGGACAGUGUCUGGUGGGUAGUUUGACUGGGGCGGUCUCCUCCUAAAGAGUAACGGAGGAGCACGAAGGUUGGCUAAUCCUGGUCGGACAUCAGGAGGUUAGUGCAAUGGCAUAAGCCAGCUUGACUGCGAGCGUGACGGCGCGAGCAGGUGCGAAAGCAGGUCAUAGUGAUCCGGUGGUUCUGAAUGGAAGGGCCAUCGCUCAACGGAUAAAAGGUACUCCGGGGAUAACAGGCUGAUACCGCCCAAGAGUUCAUAUCGACGGCGGUGUUUGGCACCUCGAUGUCGGCUCAUCACAUCCUGGGGCUGAAGUAGGUCCCAAGGGUAUGGCUGUUCGCCAUUUAAAGUGGUACGCGAGCUGGGUUUAGAACGUCGUGAGACAGUUCGGUCCCUAUCUGCCGUGGGCGCUGGAGAACUGAGGGGGGCUGCUCCUAGUACGAGAGGACCGGAGUGGACGCAUCACUGGUGUUCGGGUUGUCAUGCCAAUGGCACUGCCCGGUAGCUAAAUGCGGAAGAGAUAAGUGCUGAAAGCAUCUAAGCACGAAACUUGCCCCGAGAUGAGUUCUCCCUGACUCCUUGA
rnacentral:rRNA from 1 species